GGCUCUGGGAAGCUCUGCCUCAGGUGGGACCCAGAGGGAGCCAUGACAGCCCUCAUUCAGCUCCUCUGCCUGCUGUUACUCUGGAUCCCAGAUACCACUGGACAGGCCGUGCUGACACAGACUCCAGCCUCCCUGUCCGUGUCUCCAGGAGAAAGAGCCACCCUCACCUGCAGGUCCAGUCUGAGUGUGGGCAGCGCCUUAGCCUGGUACCAGCAGAAGCCUGGGCAGGCUCCCAGGCUCCUCAUCUAUGAUGCCUCCACCAGGGCCAGUGGAGUCCCAGCCCGGUUCAGUGGCAGUGGGUCAGGGACAGCCUUUAUGCUCUCCAUCAGCAGCCUGGAGCCUGAGGACACUGCUGUGUACCACUGUUACCAGUAUGCCGCUGUGGUGCCUACUCGGCUGGAGCAGCUAUGCUUCUGUCGGGAAAGCCUCAUUUAUGAAAACGCCCUCCCGCUUCCGCUCUUCCCACUUCCGGACACCGCCAUCUUGCUCAGGCUGAAGUCGCUGGAGUGGGAACAGCUGGGCUCCAGGUGGCGGCUGCGCUGGAGCUGCCAGAAUCCUAGCGUGGAGGCACAGCCUCAGCUCGCCAGGCUCGGCAUCGCUCCUUCAGAACAGGAAAUAUCUGCUAAACUCAAGAAAUACGUCAGUUCUACCCAUUACUAUGGCUGA